GCCUCGGUGGCUUAGCGGCUAUAGCGUCUGCUUCGUAAGCAGAACGUCGCGGGUUUUUGGUUCAUUUCGGACCAGAACGCGAAUUCAAAUCCCGCCCGGGGCUCCA
rnacentral:tRNA from 1 species